rnacentral:rRNA from 1 species
ACUCGACUACAUGAAGCUGGAAUCGCUAGUAAUCGCAGAUCAGAAUGCUGCGGUGAAUACGUUCCCGGGUCUUGUACACACCGCCCGUCACACCAUGGGAGUCGGAAAUGCCCGAAGCCGGUGACCCAACCAAAAGGAGGGAGCCGUCGAAGGCAGGUCUGAUAACUGGGGUGAAGUCGUAACAAGGUACC